ensembl:lncRNA
GCCAUCGUGGACCCCCUGGUGGCCCUGGCCUGGCUGCAUGUGCUUCAUGGGCAGAGCCUGGUGGCCCUGAACAUCCUGCAGUCUGUCCAGGAUGCAGUGGUGGUCAGCGAGGACCAGGAGGGUGUGAUUUCCAACAUUGGUGGCCGUGGCUCUGAAGAGGACGGGACGGACGAGGCAGGCAGCCGAGGGCUACUACCACGCCCUAUGGGUGGCUUGGGACCUGGGCCAGCGGAGGAACCAGGCAGUGUUGCUGGCCAACUUUGGCACCUUGUGCCUGCACGCGGGUGCCAGCAGGCUGGCCCAGCACUACCUCCUGGAGGCUGUACGUCUGUUCUCGAGGCUUCCCUGUGGGGAGUGUGGCCGGGACUUCACCCACAUACUCCUGGGCUACCUCUUCACCCGCCAGGGCCCGGCCCAGCAGUGCAAGGGCUACUACGAGUGGGCCCUUCUGGUCGCCGUGGAGAUGGACCACGUGGAGAUGAUUCCAGGGCCUACAAAUCCGCUCUGGACUACACCAAACGAAGUCUGGGCAUUUUCAUUGACCUCCAGAAGAGAAGGAGGCGCAUGCCUGGCUGCAAGCAGGGAAGAUCUAUUACCUCCUGCAGCAGAGCGAGCUGGUAGACCUGUACAUCCAGGUGGCUCAGAAUGUGGACCUGUACACAGGCGACCCCAACCUGGGGCUGGAGCUGUUUGAGGCAGCUGGAGACAUCUUCUUCAAUGGGGCCUGGGAGCGGGAGGAAGGCCUGUCCUUCUACCGGGUGAGCUGGCCUGUGGGCUGAUGUGGGUGGGCCUCAGUGGGGAACCUGGACGGCUGAGGCACAGGUGUGGCAGGGUAGAGGCCUCCCAAAUGGAGGCAGGGCCACCCAUGCACAUGAUGAGUUUCCAAGUGGUCUGACCGGGAAUGAUAUUGACCAUGCCCCUGCCUGGGACAAACUCUCGGGGCCUGGACGUGAUAAUGGCUCUACCCUUGUACCUGAUGACCUCAAGCAACCAUGAGUGGGAAGUCCUGUCCCCAUCUUCCAGAUGAGGAAACUGAGGCUCAGAGAGGCACAGGGACAUGUCAAAGGACACACAGCAUAUCAGUGGGAGGCCCAGGUCUGCACGCACCCCGAAGUGGGACGGCUUCUCCCUUCCUCUGAGCUCACGGUGUGGCUCAGCCCUGGGCACAGAUCAAUGUGGUGUUUUUAGAGCAGAGAGGAGUGCUGGCUCCCCCCAGUCAGACCUCCGGUGCCCAGGUGGGAGAGGCUGGUCUGCGGCUAUCGGGUGUAGCUGGAUGGGCCUCAGGUGACUCUUCAGCCCCCAACUUGGAUGUCUGAACUGUGUGUUAUCCCAGAGCACAGAGCUGUGUCGAGGUGCAGGGGUAGCUGGGGUGUGGGAAGCUCCAAGCACGUGUUUGAGCUCUGAGGAGGGCGCUGGGCAAGGUGGGUGCUGCGGGAAACCUGACCCCACCUGCCUGUGUGGUAGGACCGGGCCCUGCCCCGGCAGUGACUACGGGCAACCGCAAGGUGGAGCUGCAGCUACAGCUGUGCAACAAGCUGGUGUCACUGCUGGCCACACUGGAGGAGCCCCAGGAGGACUUGGAGUUUGCUUACAUGGCCCUAGCACUCAGGAUCACUCUGGGUAAGUCCCCUGAGCCCCCGCCCUGCCAGGACCCACACUUUGCCAGAGCCCAGCCUCCAGGUCUGCAGGCCAGGAGCUGAAACAGCUGCUGGAUUUUCCUGGUCUCCUGUCCAGGCAGGCAGAUCUGCCCAACUGGCUUCCCCGUCCGGCUGUGGGGCACAGCCCGAGGUCUCUCACGCAGUGCAGAGCUCCCUGCCUGACUGAGCUCUGCUUCCUGUGCCUGUUCCCGCUGCUGACCACAAGGGCCGUCCAGUGUGCCCUCUGCCUUCCAGACAUGCCAGGCAUCUCGUUGGUCCCUGUAUGUGCCAGACUGAGUGGCACAUUCCCUUUCUCUUGUGCCCUUCCCACCCUAAUCAACCACACGGUUCUCUGGCUGAUAAAAUCCCAGUUUCCCUUCCAGCAGUCUGCCCCUUAAGGCCGUGCAUCCCCUGGUGCUGUGCCAGGGUUGUCUGUCCCCCUCCAGAGACAGGGAACCCUAGGCAGGCCACAUGCCCCAGCGCCUUGUGCCCCGUGGCCCAGUACACAGUAGGUAUGCAGCUGACUCCCCAAAGUAGGGGGCUCUGAUCAUG